CACAAUAUUUACCAGAAGACCGUUAUUUGCUCGAUUACCCUCAACUUUUUUGUCGCAAAUAACAUCAUUAAUAACCUGUAAAUAAUCAAAUUUGUACACAUUACGUUCCUCUUCACUUUGUAAUAGUAUGUUUUUGGUUUAAUAGUCGGCUUUUAGUUAGUUUUUCUGUCAGUUUGAUCGUCAAAAUCUUGAAAGUUAUCUACAGCCACACAUCCACUGUAUACCAAGUUAUGAUGAUCAAUUAUGAGAAUGCAAAAGGAUUGAUAGAUCAGUAAACAAACAACAAAAAGAUGGGUGCUCAUGGUGGCCUCCGAAUAAAUACAUGGACAGGCUGCUAAAGAGGGUCAGGAUGAUGGAGAUGCAAGAGUCAAAGACAGCACAGACCAAACACCAGGCCAGAAUUCUGCAUGAGUCAG